GAUGAACGCUGGCGGCGUGCCUAAUACAUGCAAGUCGAGCGAACAGAUGAGGAGCUUGCUCCUCUGACGUUAGCGGCGGACGGGUGAGUAACACGUGGAUAACCUACCUAUAAGACUGGGAUAACUUCGGGAAACCGGAGCUAAUACCGGAUAAUAUAUUGAACCGCAUGGUUCAAUAGUGAAAGACGGUUUUGCUGUCACUUAUAGAUGGAUCCGCGCCGCAUUAGCUAGUUGGUAAGGUAACGGCUUACCAAGGCAACGAUGCGUAGCCGACCUGAGAGGGUGAUCGGCCACACUGGAACUGAGACACGGUCAAGACUCCUACGGGAGGCAGCAGUAGGGAAUCUUCCGAAAUGGGCGAAAGCCUGACGGAGCAACACCGCGUGAGUGAUGAAGGUCUUCGGAUCGUAAAACUCUGUUAUUAGGGAAGAACAAAUGUGUAAGUAACUAUGCACGUCUUGACGGUACCUAAUCAGAAAGCCACGGCUAACUACGUG
rnacentral:rRNA from 1 species